UCGACCGGCGCACGGGUGAGUAACGCGUAUCCAACCUUCCCAUUACUGUGGGAUAACCUGCCGAAAGGCAGACUAAUACCGCAUAGCCUUCGAUGACGGCAUCAGAUUUGAAGUAAAGAUUUAUCGGUAAUGGAUGGGGAUGCGUCUGAUUAGCUUGUUGGCGGGGUAACGGCCCACCAAGGCGACGAUCAGUAGGGGUUCUGAGAGGAAGGUCCCCCACAUUGGAACUGAGACACGGUCCAAACUCCUACGGGAGGCAGCAGGC
rnacentral:rRNA from 1 species